AACUUUUAAAGGAUAACA
rnacentral:tRNA from 1 species